AGCGAACGCUGGCGGCAGGCUUAACACAUGCAAGUCGAGCGGGCGUAGCAAUACGUCAGCGGCAGACGGGUGAGUAACGCGUGGGAACGUACCUUUUGGCUCGGAACAACACAGGGAAACUUGUGCUAAUACCGGAUAAGCCCUUACGGGGAAAGAUUUAUCGCCGAAAGAUCGGCCCGCGUCUGAUUAGCUAGUUGGUAGGGUAAUGGCCUACCAAGGCGACGAUCAGUAGCUGGUCUGAGAGGAUGAUCAGCCACAUUGGGACUGAGACACGGCCCAAACUCCUACGGGAGGCAGCAGUGGGGAAUAUUGGACAAUGGGGGCAACCCUGAUCCAGCCAUACCGCGUGAGUGAUGAAGGCCCUAGGGUUGUAAAGCUCUUUUGUGCGGGAAGAUAAUGACGGUACCGCAAGAAUAAGCCCCGGCUAACUUCGUGCCAGCAGCCGCGGUAA
rnacentral:rRNA from 1 species